CUCUGUCCUCAAGGAAGAUAAUGACGGUACUUGAGGAGGAAGCCCCGGCUAACUACGUGCCAGCAGCCGCGGUAAUACGUAGGGGGCUAGCGUUAUCCGGAUUUACUGGGCGUAAAGGGUGCGUAGGCGGUCUUUCAAGUCAGGAGUGAAAGGCUACGGCUCAACCGUAGUAAGCUCUUGAAACUGGGAGACUUGAGUGCAGGAGAGGAGAGUGGAAUUCCUAGUGUAGCGGUGAAAUGCGUAGAUAUUAGGAGGAACCCCAGUUGCGAAGGCGGCUCUCUGGACUGUAACUGACGCUGAGGCACGAAAGCGUGGGGAGCAAAC
rnacentral:rRNA from 1 species